rnacentral:lncRNA from 1 species
CUGUGGUCACACGUCAGGCUCCUCAUAACCUGACUCCUUUAUUCCCUGAAAGCUCAUGAUAACAGGGCCUAUGGCCCCUCAGGAGCGCCCAGUAAACACUGGUUCGAUGAAUGAACCCACGACCGGUCACCAAACCUACACACAUGAAUGUCACAAGAACUCCCCAGGCAGCUCACCAUUUAGCACUACAUGGACAGCAAUUCUCUAAAAUGUUUUCAUUUUAGCAUCACAAUUUCACUUUUUUCUUCCUCCUUUCACUUUAGUUUACUGUUUUAUGGUGUCUUUUUUUUUAAUUGCAGUAACAUUGGUUCAUAACAUUAUAUAAAUUUCAGGUGUACACCAUUAUAUUUUGAUUCCUGUAUAGACGACAUCAUGUUCGCUACCCAAAGACUAAUUACAAUCCAUCACCACACACCUGUGCCUAGCCACCCCUUUGACCCUCCUGCCUCCCCAAUUCUCUUUGGGUAACCACCAAUCCAAUCUUUGUUGCUAUGUGUUUGUCAUUGUUUUUAUCUUCUAUUUAUGAGUGAAAUCAUACGUGUUUGACUUUCUAUCUCUGAUUUAUUUCACUUAGCAUAAUACCCUCAACGUCCAUCCAUGUUGUUGCAAAUGGCCAGAUUUCAUCAUUUCUUGUGGCUGAGUGGUAUUCCAUUGUGUACAUAUACCACAUCUUCUUUAUCCGUUCGUCCCUUGAUGGACACAUAGGUUCCUUCCCAGUCUUGGCUAUUGUGAAUAAUGCUGUGAUGAACAUAUGGGUGCAUAUAUUUUUAUGCAUUCAUGUUUUUAUGUUCUUUGGAUAAAUACCCAGCAGUGGAAUAGCUAUAUUUUAUGGUAGUUCUAUUCCUUUUUUUUUUUUUUUUAAUUCCUUAUGACUUUUUCUUCUUCUCCCCAAAGUCCCCCAGUACAUAGUGGUAUAUUCUAGUUGUAGGUCCUUCUGGCUCUGCUAUGUGGGACACAGCCUCAGCAUGGCUUGCUGAGUGGUGCCAUGUCCGUGCCCAGGAUCCAAAACGGCAAAACGCUGGGCCGCUGAAACAGAGUACGAAAGCUUAACCACUCAGCCAUGGGGUCGGCCUCUGGUAGUUCUAUUCUUAAUUUUUUGAGGAAUCUCCAAACUGUUUUCCAUAAUUACUGCACCAGUUUGCAUUCCCACCAGCAGUGUACGAGGGUUCCCUUCUCUCCACAUCCUCUCCAACAACUUCUUGUUUCCUGUCUUGUUAAUUAUAACCAUUCUGACGGGAGUGAGGUGAUAUCUCAUUGUAGUUUUGAUUUGCAUUUCCCUGAUAGUUAAUGAUGUUGAACAUCUUUUCAUGUGCCUGUUUGCCAUCUGUAUAUCUUUUUGGAGAAAUAUCUGCCCAUUUUUUAAUUGGGUUGUUAGGUUUUUCGUUGUUGAGGGGUAUGAGCUUUUUGUAUAUUUUGGAUAUUAACCCCUUAUCAGAUAUAUGGUUUGCAAAUAUCGUCACCCCAAUUGUUAGGUUGUCUUUUCGUUUUGUUGAUGGUUUCCUUUGCUGUGCAGAAGCUUUUUAGUUUGACAUAGUCCCAUUUGUUUAUUUUUUUCUAUUAUUUCCCUUGCCUGGUCAGACAUGGUCCUUGAAAAUAUGCUGCCAACACCAAUGUCAAAGAGCAUACUGCCUAUGUUUUUUUCUAGAAGUUUAAUGAUUUCAGGUCUUACAUUCAAGUCUUUAAUCCAUUUUGAGGUAAUGUUUGUGCAUGGUGUAAGAUAAUGGUCUACUUUGGUUCUUUUGCAUGUGGCUGUCCAGUUUUCCCAACACCAUUUAUUGAAGAGGCUUUCCUUUCUCCACUGUAUGCUCUUGGCUCCCUUGUUGAAAAUUAGCUGUCUGUAGAUGUGUGGGUUUAUUUCUGGGCUCUCGAUUCUGUUCUAUUGAUCUGUGUGUCUGUUUUUGUGCCAGUAACAUGCUGUCUUGGUUACUAUAGCUUUGUAGUAUAUUUUGAAAUCAGGGAGUGUGAUGUCUACAGCUUUGUUCUUUUUUCUCAGGAUUCCUUCGGCUAUUGGGGGUCUUUUGUUGUUCCAUAUAAAUUUUAGGAUACUUUGUUCUAUUUCUGUGAAAAUUGUUGGAACUUUGAUAGAGAUUGCAUUGAAUCUAUAGAUUGCUUUAGGAAGGAUGGACAUUUUAACUAUGUUAAUUCUUCCAAUUCAAGUGCACAGAAUAUCUUUCCAUUUCUUUGUGUCUUCUUGAAUUUCUUUCAACAGUGUUUUAUAGUUGAAACAGUGUUUCAACAGUGUACGGCUCUUUCACCUCUUUGGUUAAGUUCAUUCCCAGGUAUUUUAUUCUUUUUGUUGCGGUUGUAAAUGGCUAUCGUGUCUUAGAGCAUCAUGCAGUUCCAUGGAUGAGCAGCACACAGGAUUGAGAAGCAAUUCCCCCAAGAAGCAGGAGGGUGAUAAUAAGAACUCAGACCCAUGUGACACUUGACAGUUCACACAGUGCUUUUGUGGCAAUCCCAGUGUUUUCAGCUUUGGAGGAGACUGAAACGAAGGACAUGGAAAAGAAUGUCGUUGUCUCGGAGACACAAAAGUGACCGGAGAAAUGUAUCUAGAAAUGAAACUAGGGCUAAGUGCAAGUCUGUGACUCCGCCCCAUCUUCACCUGACGUUUCUAACCCAGGUCAGAGGAUGAUGCACAUUCUCCACCAACAGCUGCAGAAGGGAAACAAUCAAAGGAAGGAGUGGGGAGGGAAGCAGCUCACACCUACACAAGUGUCUCCAGCGGUUCUUUAAAAGGAGGUGAGUUGGGACUGAGAUUUCUCCCGAGCACCAGAGACUCAGACCAGCCAGACGGGCACCACAGAAAGACUCAGUGAUCUGGUCCCCUCUCGGCCAGUGACCUUGCCGGGGGUGGUGAGUGAGGCCACCGCCUGACCACCUGGACCUUCGCUGACUGCAUUUGGAAAAUAGUCUCUCUUUCUUUACAGAGUGGGGAGAGUUAAUUCAUGUUUGCAAAGACCUUUCCAAUCCUUGUAAAAAGGUUCUCUGCCAGCUCUAAUUAUCUGGGAUAUCAGCUGAGACUCAGUUCUCUCUUGGCACAGCAUCUCUGCCCCGGAAGAUGGCAAAUGAGAUUGCUGCUUGGCUGCUGUCAGGAUCAGCCGUCACCAUUGAGCAUCCAGCUGGUGUGGUUGUGUAUCUCUGUAUCCAGUUUACUGCCCAGGUUCCAAACCUCUGCGGGGAGAUGGUGACACUAGACAUGCACUCCUACCCCCUCCCACCCCAUGAGGAGGCAGCUGCCUAUGGGGUACAAUUCAAGAAGCUCCUAAAAGGCCUCCCACAGCCAAACUCAACUCCUCCAUUCCUUCUCAGGAACUGGAAAUCCCUCCACUAAAAAUCCAGUCUUGGGGCCAGCCCAGUGGCGCAGUGGUUAAGUUUGCACAUUCCACUUUGGUGGCCCAGGGUUCGCCGGUUCGGAUCCCGGGUGUGGACAUGGCACUGCUUGGCAAGCCAUGCUGCGGCAGGCGUCCCACAUAUAAAGUAGAGGAAGAUGGGCACGGAUGUUAGCUCAGGGCCAGUCUUCCUCAGCAAAAAGAGGAGGAUUGGCAGCAGAUGUUAGCUCAGGGCUAAUCUUCCUGAAAAAAAACCAAAAUCCACUCCUUUGGGGUGAAGGGGAACAUUUAUAUGAUGACAGACAAAUAAUAAUGCACAACUGAAAUUUCCCAAUGUUGUAAAGUAUUAUGACCUCAAAAAUAGCUUUUUUAAUAAAUAAAUAAAUAAAAUCCACUCCUUUUGGUGUUGGAUGUUUUUCCUAAGAGUGCAGUCAUGUGGAAAGACAAUCCAGCCAGGAGUCAGAAUACCCAGCUCUGGGUUCCCUCCCCUUGGUUCAGUACCGGCUCUGCUCUUUCUAGCCUGGUGACCUGGGAUAAACCCACUCUCUUCCUCUCUCAUUUUUUUUCCGUCUAAAAUGGCACCGCUAAUGCCUAUCUCGCAGGGCUGCUUGAGGAUCAGGCGAGAUAAUGGAUGUGAAAGCCAAGCGUGGCAGAAAUGUAAGAAGCAUUAUUAUUACUAAAAUGCUGGUCUGCCUGGGCUGGCUAAUCCCUACUGGGGAUUAAUUGAUGGCUCUCAGGACUAGGCAGCCUCCUGGGGCGGCAGAAGAGAAGAGCCAGGGGGACCACAGAGGGGAGGAAGACGCCGGAAGAGGAGAAGGGAGGGACCCUCUACUGCUGGGAGCACCUGUGGGAGCAGCCGUGCUCCCACAUCAGCUUCUGCACCCUGCCCCUCUAUUGCCCAAAGAUGUGACGACUAGGGGGUCAUUGCUCAGCUAAAAAGCCAUUGGGAAAAAUAACCGAAUGUGCCUGGUCUACACAGACACAUCACUCAGGUAAUUCUGGCAAAAAGGCCCAGUUUUGGCAUGAGUAGCCUACAUGCGUCAGACCAGAGUAAUUGCUUUCUUUGUCAGAAUUUCCUGGAUCACCUCCUCCCCUUUGUUUGGCUGAAAGAACCAGCCUCCCAUGUGGGAGCCUGCUUGCCAAACAUUAUUGCAUCCUUAGAGAUGAAAGGCACCGCGUGAGCGAUUUUCCAUAAGGUGUCGGCACAUGUGUUAAGUGUUACAAGGGGGAAACGCACCCAUGGGUUUCAUCUGGGAGGAUGACGUGGUAGAGGAGAUGUGGGGAGGGGGAGACCCAACCACAAGAGGAGCUGCUUCUCAGGACCUGCGGGGAUCCGGGCUCUGUUCAGGGCAUUUUGCAUUAAAAAUCUCCUUUAAUCCUCACAACAGCCCUCUGAGGCAGCAUCCAGGAAUGGAAAGAACUUGAGUUGAGAAGCCAAACAUUAAUAGAUUUGGCUCCCUAGCCUGCCGUUUACUGUGUGAACUGGGCAAGCUGCUUGAUGGUGGGAGCUUCAGUCUUCUAUCUGUUGAAUGCAACUGAUGAUGGUGGCCUCGGAGUGUGAGGAGGGAGAGUUCCGUGUAUGACGAUGAAGCCCCUGCCAGGCACACAGCAGGCAUCGAGAAGUGGUGUUCUAGUGUCGUUCUUCACGGAUAAGGAUGCCGACGAGCAAGCAGCUUAGGAGCCCACCGAUGUCACACUGCCGUCAAUAACAGAGCCGGAUCCGGCUCCCUCCACAGGUGUUUGCUUGGAGGCAGUUUAAGGCGGACCCUUCACAGCCUCUCCCACAGGGUUCCAUUUGAGUCUCACCUCCAGCGUUUGUGCGCAGGUUGCAGGCACGAUCAUGUGUUGUUCUGUAGCCACAGCACUCCUCACACAGCGCCUCGCACGCCGUAGUUACUUAGAAAUGUUUGUUAAAAGAGUGGAAGAAUUAAGAAGAGCCCAGAAUAGAUGGACAGAGCUGAGUCUAGGUAGCUGUGUAACAGGUAUCCACCACAUGCCUGAUAACUUGGAGUUGGGACAUGCGGUCCCCUCACGCUGCAUGAGAGUAGUGUGGACACUUUCUGACGCCCAUCUUCAUUAUAGGAAGAGGGACAGCCCUCGGAGGAGAAUCUGUCAGAGGUAACAGAAAUUACCUCAAACAGAAAUGGCACAAACUGGGGACCCAAUGACGAAAAAACAUUGGGAAGAUAAAAUGGAAUCAUGGGCAGGAACAUGCUUUGAAAAUGCUGGAGCCUAUGAAAAGGAAAAGGAUCACCACUUACGUGAACAACAGAAUCCUGGAAGCACACAGCAGGCCCCCCUCAUUCGCGGUUUUGCUUUCCACAGUUUCAGUUAGCCAUGGUCACCCAAGAUCUGAAAAAAAACUAUGUCAUGAUGCCUCCAUCACUCACCUCACUUUAUUUCAUCAGUAGGCAUCGUAUCAUCUCACGUCAUCCAAGAAGAAGGUGAGCACAGUACAAUAAGAUAUUUUGAGAGAGACAGAGCCCACAUCCACAUAACUUGUAUUAUAGUAUAUUGUUAGAAUUGUUCUAUUUUGUUCUUGUUGUUAAUCUCUUACUGUGCCUAAUUUAUAAAUAAACUUUAUCAUAGGUAUGUGAGUAUAGGAAAAAUCAUAGUAUAUAUGGGGUUUGGUACCACUGGCGGUCUCGGGCAUCCACUGGGGGUCUUGGAAGGUAUGCCCUGCACAUAACGGGUGACUUCUGUAGUUAGUGGGUUCUUGUUUGAGAUUCCCUGGGUUGUAGUGAGAAUAUAGGAAAGACAAAGGCCAGGCAGAAUACUCCGAAGAUUGUGGGUUUAGAAGAAUGAAACCAGGAAUGGCACCCUCUCCCCUCCCCCAACUGUUUUCUGCACACAGCUCAGGACCUGAGGCCACAGGAAGCAGUGCCCUUGACUCCCAGAGGAAUGAAGGUGCACUGACAGCAAACCCUCCAGUUAACUACAGAGGGGCAGGCGUGAUGGGGGCUCCAGCCUCCUGGCCAAGUCCACGCUUACUGUGAGCCACCAUCUUUCUGCUGAAAGGCCAAGCCCUGGCACGCAGGCUUUGAGAAGCUGGGGGGCCCCGCCCCCGCCGGCAGUCCGCCUCAGCCCAGCCUGUCUGGCCUGGCACAGGGGUGGCACAGGCCAGGUGCCUGUAAUUACAGACUGGAAUGAACCGGAAGCUGAGAGCUUUUGAGGGCAGGGGCUGAGGCUGAUGUUCUUUGCUGCCUCCGAACCGUGACCACAGCAGGCCUCAUAAGGAGCUGUUGAUUUGAGCUCCUGCAGACUGAAGGCAAGGUCUGUGCCUCCAGGCAAAGCAUCAGCUCCUGCCCCGUGACACGGCUCACCCCUCAGAGGUCUUGGCCCUGGCCUGCUGGGAGAAGCCACGCAGCUCCCAACAAUUGCUGCGGGCCCUCAGAGCGGCUAAUUAGGGUCGUGCCAGGCCAACUGCAACCUGCCAUCAGGAGCUCCUGGCCGGCUUCCUAUUCCCUCUGGGACUCUGCCAUCUCCCUCAUAGAGUUAGAAAAGACACAUACGUCCGCUGAAGUCGAGGAGUCACGCCCCGAGUGGGGAGGUGGCAGAAAACAGGUAAAUGGCAGCCAACAUAGUGAUGUGAACGUGCGUGCUGGCCGAGGAGGGCUUCCUGGGCGAAGUCGUUCAGGAACGGGGCCUGGAAGGGCAGGUGAACAGGAAAUGCAAGAGGACACACUGAGCUGGCAUUUUCCCCCUGUGAUGGUAAUCUCAUGUGUCAGCUUGACUGGGCUGAAGGAUGCCGGAAAGCUGGUAAACAUUACUUCCGGGUGUGUCUGUGAGGGGGUCCCAGGACAGAUUAGCACUUGAAUCAGUAGGCUGAGUAAAGAAGAUGCCCUCGCCAAUGCAGGUGGGCUUCAUUCAAUCCUCUGCGGGCCUGAAUAGAACAAAAAGGCAGAGGAAGGGCAAAUUCAAUCUCUUUGUUUGAGCUGGAUGUUCAUCGUCUCUUGCCCUUGGACAUCAGUGCUCCUGCUCCUCGGGCCUUCAGACUUGGACUGAGAAUUGUGCCAUCGGCUCCCGGGUCUCAGGCCUUCAGCCACCGACUGAGUUACACCACUGGCUUUCCUGGGUCUUCAGCUCGCGGACGGCAGAUUGGGGACUUCUCAGCGUCCAUAAUUAAAUUGGUGGGGCUGGCCCGGCAGCACAGCGGUUAAGUUUACACGCUCCGCUUCGGCGGCCCUGGACUCGCCGGUUCGGAUCCCGGGUGCGGACAUGGCACCACUUGGCAAGCCACGCUGUGGUAGGCAUCCCACAUAUAAAGUAGAGAGGAAGAUGGGCACAGAUGUUAGCUCAGGGCCAUCCUUCCUCAGCAAAAAGAGGAGGAUUGGCAGCAGAUGUUAGCUCAGGGCUAAUCUUCCUCAAAAAAAAAAAAGAAAGAAAUUGGUAAACUUUGAACUUCAAAGGAAGCAGGAGAGAAGUAAAGAAGAUGCAGAAAUGAAGUAUGAACUGGAAUGCAUGCUCUGUAAUUCUCAGCCCUGCUCUUGAAGAGCUUCCAUCCUAAGUAGUGUGUGGUGCACGAAGCACUCCCUUCUGAGGGAAAAGCAGCGGAGGGAAAACCAAGUUCAGCUCUGACCCUCCUUUAAGACCUUUCGAAAAAGGUGUUCCUUCUUUUGGCUUCUGUCUUCCACGUAUAAAAUGGAAGUAGCAUUUCCAUUUGGAAUUUAUUUACUGAGCAGACAUUUCUCAUACAUAAGUGGUUCCCUAUCUCAUGCCGUGUAUGGCAAUACAUUUCCAAUAUGGCAGCAAGCAAAACGCAAAAAGCAUUAAAAAGAAGAAAACACAACUGCAUAUUGAUUCUAGCAAUGGAGCAAAGAAAUUUCUAGCUCUUGACAUACUGAGGCUGUCAUCAUACAAGAUAGAUAGGUUUGAAUAAGUAAAUCUUUGUACAAAAAAAUUCUACAAAAUAUAUAUUAAAAGGAAAACAAUAGAAUGGGGAAAAUAUGUCAUCAAUAUAACUGCAAAGAGCUUAUUAACAAAAUUAUUAAAAUUGGUAGAAGUGCAUAAUGUACCCACCUAGAUGGCCCUCCAAGAAGUGAGCAGAGAGCCAUCCAGGUGAUGUACUCAGGAGCCACUGUCACAGCCCCAGGGAGCCACAGUGUGACCCGGAGAGAGCCUCAGAUUAGUAAUGAGUCAGAGUCCACACAUUCAACUUACUUAAUGAGCCUGUGUCUGUCCUUUCAUGUGGAAAAUGGAUAUAAUUAUACCUACUUUUCAGGAUUCUUCUGAGGAUAAAUUAGAGGGCCUGUCACUACAGUGAGCAUUCAAGAAAUGGGAUUAUUAUCAUUAUCAGAGGGUAAAGAUGCACAGCAUUACUGGCAAUUAAAGAUAUGGAAAUUAUGACAAAUUAAAGGUAGCAUGAUGUAUCUAUUGGAGUAACAAAAAGAUACCCAAAUUCACAAAAAGGCUUGCACGAGAAUAUUCAUAGCAGCUUUAUCCAUAAUUUGCAAAUCCUGGAAAGAGCCCAGGCGUCCAUGAGUGGAUAAACAACUUGUGGUAUAUUCAUACAAUGGAAUACUUCUCAGCAGUAAAAGGAACGACUCACCCAUACAUGCAAUAAGGUGGAUGGAUCGGAAAAUCAUCACACUGAGCAAAAGAGGCCUCUCACAAAAGAUUUCAAACCAUAUGAUUGCAUUUAUAUGAAAUUCCAGAACUCUAGAAGAAACUUACCUAUGGUAGAAAAAAUCAAAAUAGUGAUUGCUUUCGGAGGAUGGGGUCAGGGAUUGACCAAGAAGGGGCAUGAGGGAAUUUUCUGGAAUAACAGAACUGUUCUAUAUCAUGAUAGGGGAUUGCAUGUGCAUUUGUCAAAACACAGAAAAGGCACACUUACAAUCUGUGCAUUUCAUUAUAUGUAAGAUUUAUCUCAAAAGGGAAAACUAUAAAUAAAUAUUGAACUCUGGUUAAUAACGUGCAUGCUGAAGUAUUUGAGGGGAGUGUACCGGUGUCUGCAAUUUACUUUGAAAUAUAUAAAAAGCAAGAUGAAUUCUUGGGUGGCUAGAUGGGUGGAUAUGAGAUAAAGCAAAUACAGUGAAAUCUUAAAGGUGGAAUCCAGGUGGUGAGUGUUCACUGUAAAAUUAUUUCAACUUCUCUGCAUGUUUGAAAUUUUUCAUAAUAAAAUAUUAGGACAAAAAAGAACUCAUAUUUGUAGGAAUCCUGAACUCAUUCUACAUGGUGGCCUUGGAAAUAUUGUAUUGAUCUUUCUGUGGAACAUUUGGGCCAUAUGUACACAUUUUGACCCAUUAAUUCCUCUUUGGGUAAUAUGGCCCAAAGAACUGUAAAGAUUUUCCCUUCUCUAUACUCAUCAGAGAGCUGGGCCUAGAAAACGGACUAGUAUGGACGGGUUAGGUGGAUAAAUCCAUGAGUUUCUGGAGAUACAGGAGAAGGAUCAUUUGUGAGAAAGAUGCAACCACCUGAAGAGCAGAUUCAGCCUCUUCAUUCUCUGCCUUCUGCCUGCAGGUCAGAUGAGACUGACCAAGUAGCCAGAUGUGUUUUAAACAGAUCACUCAGCAUUGUUCUACCACAAACAGCUACUAUUUGUUGACUGUCUACUACCUCCAGCCCCUUGAUGUUCACCAUCUGAUGCUCUCAACAAUCCUACAAAGUAAGGAUCACCAUCCUCACCUGCAGAUAAAGAGAGUGAGGCUCAGGGAGGGUGAGUGGUUUGUCGAAGGCCAUGCACCUAAUGAGAGUUUGAAUCAAGUCUGUCCAAUUUACAGCUUACCCUCUUUCCACUCUGUCAAGCUGUGUUUGAAGAAUUCAAAUGAUUUUGGCCUAACUAGGAUUGCUCCUAAAGGAACCAGAGAUGUCUGUCAUCCUGAAACAAAACAGUAGACAGUGAAAGACUGAAUGGUACAUCUUCUCGGCUCUCGGGUAAGGUGUCUGAUGGAAGCUCCACACUUUAUAGGUUCAGGGGCCAUCGCAGGAUCCUGUUGGAAUAAGGCCAUAGGGGGAACAGGGAGGCAGCCUCCGCUGGCUGACUCACCGAUACCAUGAUUCCAUGCUCACUUUCCAGGUCAAACUGUGCCAAUCUGAGGCCUAAGCUCAAACUGCCUUCAACUCUUCUCACUUGUGUCUUUCGCCAGCUCAGCAAAGAGGAACUAGGAGAGAGGAAAGAGGCACAGGCUGACGCUCUAUCACUCCUCCCCUCUGAGAACAUCGCUCUGUUUGUGAGCACCUCUCCAGCCCUCCUCCUAGCCUGUUUCCUGAUUAGCACCCCUCUCCCCACCCUAGCUCCAGCCCCACACACAGACACACACAUGUGUAUACACACACACACACACACACACACACACACACACACAGUGCCACUCUCCCCAC